rnacentral:rRNA from 1 species
UGGGGAAUUUUCCGCAAUGGGCGCAAGCCUGACGCAGCCACGCCGCGUGCGGGAUGAAGGCUCUAGGGUUGUAAACCGCUUUAGGCAGGGAAGAAAAUGACGGUACCUGCAGAAUAAGGUCCGGCCAACUAUGUGCCAGCAGCCGCGGUAAUACAUAGGGACCGAGCGUUGUCCGGAUUUAUUGGGCGUAAAGAGCUCGUAGGCGGUUCGGUAAGUCAGGUGUGAAAGCUCGAGGCUCAACCUCGAGAAGCCACCUGAUACUGCCGUGACUUGAGUCCGGUAGAGGAGUGUGGAAUUCCUGGUGUAGCGGUGAAAUGCGCAGAUAUCAGGAGGAACACCAAUUGCGAAGGCAGCACUCUGGGCCGGUACUGACGCUGAGGAGCGAAAGCGUGGGGAGCGAACAGG